UGUAAGUUUAAAAGGUACUAGUGUGUGAAUCUGACAGCCUCAUGUACAGGCAAAAUAAGGUCAGACACUUUCACAAUUUAAUGGUGUCAAGUUAACACUUUGCGUGCCAGAAUGACUCAGCAAAUUCCCGACUUCCCCCUAUCCUUAUUUGCUCUCUUAUGCAUGUGCAUAAAACAGGUACACAUUAACCUUAAAGCCUGAUCUGGCCAAAAAUGUCACAGUCGGUAGGAGAAUUCAUAGCAGUGUCAGGAAGCAUGUCUCCGACUUGACAUUUGAUUUGUGUGACUUUAAGUAAAGGGUAAGAUGUCUGUCACCAUUUCUUGCCACAUAGUUUAUUCUAAUACAUACUAAUAAUAGUGUUUACUGACAGUUAGACAUUACAUACUUCCCCCUUCAUUGUGCUCUGAACCUUGACCUCCUUUCACACCACCUGCUGUCGUAGGAUCUACUUUAUGACAAAUCUUGUUACCCAGGGUAAGCUAUUAUCUCGUAAUAGGAGACUCGAGUCUUGAGACAAAUUGUUCUGGGAAAAGAACUCGAGAGAAAAAGACACAUGGGGAUUAUCAAAAGCGGUUGAUCUUGGUCAAAAUCAUCAAUACACAGCCCUAUUACAUAAAGCGAACGACUCGUGACUUGGGAGAAAACAUGUGACAGACUUCAAGGGGGGUACAUCUUUGGUUGCAACGCCAACAAUGCUCACAUGCGUAUGUGUAAGAAACGUCUGAGGGAGCCUCGGUUGUGGUUGAUCACAUUUCAUUGGUCAGCAUGAAUGACUGCUGUGCAGAACCCGAACACCCCUCAGCUAAAAAAAAAAAAAAGGAAAUCCCCCCCCAGAUGUUUGUAUGGCGACAAGAGGGUUGUUAUACUUCUCAUUUUUCAAAGGCAGAAGGCAGAGUCAUUUUUCUAAGCGGCUCUUCCUGCUUAGAAAAACGAGGUCUUUUGGAGUUAAGGGGUCCUUAACACCUUCUAUGACUCUGUGGUGGCCUCAGCCAUUCAUUAUUGCAUCGUCUGCUGGUCAGGCAGCAUCUCAGCCCAGGACAGAGAGAGACUGGACCGACUGGUCAGGAGGGCCAGCUCUGUCCUGAGCUGCUCCCUAGACACUGGAGGAGGUAGGCAACAGGAGGAUGCUAGCCAAGCUAAAAGCUAUGAUGGGCAGACCCUCCCACCCUCUCCAGGCCAGCCUGUCAGCACCUGGCAGAGACUGAUAAACCCGCACUGCAAGAAGGGGAGGUACCGCCGCUCGUUCCUGCCGACUGGUGUCAAGCUAUUGAAUAGACAGAAGUGAAAACCUGGACUCAGCCCCACUCACCCAUUUUUAAAAUGAUGAUAUGCAUAUUAUGUCAUUUACAGUAUAGUUAUAAAAAAUACUUUUUGUUCUUCUCCUUCUUCUUUUCACAAUUUUGCUGCUGUAGAUUGGGAAUUUCGCCAUUGUGAGACAAGUAAAGGUUUUCUUAUCUUAUCUUAACUUUCGGACUUGUCUUGUUAUCAACAACAAACUGUUGCUAAACUGGAUUAAACAGUGACCUUGGCA